ACGCAAGUUCUUCAUCGGUUAUACAGAAUGGUUUCAUUCGUAAGAAGCCUUUUAUUGUGCUAUUAUGACAAAAAUUAUGUAAGUUGGAAGCCUUGCAUUCUGAAAUUCUUGCAGCAAGUUCUUUAUAUCCCAUGGCUUUCGAGCCAAUUUGAUGCAGGUUUUCUUUUGGUUCUGAAAAUGUUGUUGUUAGUGAUCAAAUCCUUUCAGGCCCAAAAUUAGCUGCUCUUUUAGAGAAUUUGCAGCUAUCAACGGAUCCUUGUAUGUGCCAAUUAUUAUCUUAUGAAGUAACUCAACGCGUAGAACAUUACAAAUAACAGAUAAAAUGCGUACAGAACUCAGCAGAAAUUAGUCUAAGGAUAUGGAGUUGAACAAAGCAUUCAACAAUCUCCUUAAACCACGGAAUUACCCAAGAACUCAAAACAGGAUUUCUAAGAGAGCACACUAGAGAUAUGGACAGCCGCUCCUAUUCAGAGUCCUCGCUCUUCUUGGGCUUGCGGUACUUCUCCUCGUAGUAUUUGGUCCUCUCCAUGGCCAUAUUGGCGAUCUUCCGGACGUUGGACACGUUGUAGUUCUGGGCAAUAUAGAUCCCAAACGUGGUUCCUAUAAAAAAGGAGAAGCAUUUCCGGAUCAAAGCCAUUCCACCACCUCUUCUUCUACUCCUUUUCCUUGGUAGUUUUCUUCUUCUUCUACUUCCCUGAUUGCAAUCAAGUCCGAAACCCAGAGGAGUUUUAUAGAGGGGAUAGUAAAUGGAGAGGAAGAUGGCAAGAAAGGUGACGUUAUUGAGCAUAGUCUUCAACCUGGUCCCUCGACCAAGAAACUCCUCAACUUAUUCCUCAAGUUUGUUGAGCUGACCUGGCUCGGACUAUUUUAGCUUUUGGGAAGUGGACUACUUGGUUUUGGUGGAGAAUAGCAAGCAUCAUGCGGGCACUAGCAAUAACGAUUUCUAUGCCUCCUAUUCAAACUUGAGAUGAACGUUGAUCAAUAUUGGCCAUCCUGCUUGCAAAAAUCAGGCACUUGUUACACUUGUAUCUUAAGUCAGGCUAGGAUGCUCUUAAAGAAAGAGUAAUUCUGAUGUGUUAGGUAUGAAGCUAAAAAGAAUUCUUUUUGCUAACAAUGUACUAAGUAUUGAUGUUAUUUGGAUCUCUAUUAAUUAUUUAUUCAUUGUGCAACAAGUUAAAAAAUUAUUACUCUCAUUUAUUUUAUAAACUUUAUAUACUUUCUUCUUAGAUUGAGCCCUAUGUAUAUUGUUACAACUUGAUCCUUUUAGCAACCAAUGCACGGGUGAGAAUGGAACGCUGGAUAACUUCUCCUUCUCGAAUCCCGUCACCGCGUCGGUUCUGAUUCGAUGCCGGCGGUCUAAUUACCCCCCGCGAGCCACCGCAUCCAAGCUCUCCCGCCUCGACCUCGACCUCGACCUCUGCCCUCUCCUCCCCCUCUCCCUCUCCAUCCCCUCCGCCUCCGUUUCGUCCUCCGCCUCCCCCGCCGCCUUCGCUUCCGCUUCACCGCCGCCUUCGCUUCCGCUUCACCGCCGCCUUCGUCCCCUCCACCACCGCCGACGGCCCCGCCGACCACGAACUCCCCCUAAAAGUACCUCCUUUCUCCUUCUUCCCCUCCCUCUCCACCCAAAAUCCGGAUUUUGGUCUUGAUACCGCAGGAGUUUCUCAGAUUGAUUGGGUUAUAAUGAUAUGGGAUGUGCAGACGGCGGCGGUCAUCGAUCAGCAGCGGCAGAAUCAGGGGAGCCGGCUGAGGAAGGGGGUCGUUUUUGGAGUCUAUAUCGGAUUGGGCGCCGGAGGUGUGGUUGUGGCCCGGGGAUGGGUGUUCACUGUGGUAGUGGCGGCCGCGGUGUUUGCUGCGGCCCGGGAGUACGUUGAGUUGGUCAGGAGUCGGGGUCCCCCAAAAUGUGUCGAAGGUUUGCUCGGUUAUCAAUGCCCUCAUGCCCAUACUGACGCUCAAACUGUCUCUUCGGCCUAUAUGUGGCCCAACGACACAUAGUGGCUCUACUCAAAAAAUGACACAUAGUGGCUCUACUCGAGAAAACGACACAUGGUGGCUGCAUAUAGGAUAUGAAGUGCAGUGAAGGGACUGCUUACUUAUAUGCAGUACACGGGGGUAGGUGGUGGCAGCUGGCACCCAGGUCCCACUCAGCCGAUCACCAACUCUGCAUGAGACCGGUGAACUUAGUUGUUAUGUGGUGGGUGUUCUUGGGCAUUUUUCAACCAUGUAAUAGUCACAUGUCCUGUAUUUCCUCAGCAUAAAACAAAAAUUGCAUUAUGUUUUUACCGUCCUUCGAAAUAAGUCAAAUGUUCUUUGUGACAAUGGUUCCAGAUGUGCAGGAGGCAUAGUCGGCUCUGUGUUCACGGGCACACUAUGUUACACUGUGAAAAUUGCCCUAGAAUUCUUUGGUGUUUGAUUUUCAUCAAAAAUCAUUUUCUGGGGUGAGUUCAAAGUUUUCCGUUUGCCUUCUACAUCAGAACAAGAACCUGAAUCUAACAAAUUGACAGAAUAGGGGAAAAAACGAAGAAUCCUGGCUUUUGAAGCAGGAAUGUUGGCAGCAAUGGUGAAAAAAAUCUUUCUAUUGGUGUCAUACUGUUCCAAUUCUUCUUUAGGUGGAGGACACGUCAAUACCACAGGAAAUCUAGAUGUAUCAAUCUGAAUCUGAUACUUGUGCAACAGAGCUUUCCAACCUCACUGAUUAAACUGUGAGGUCUGAGACUAUGUACACAAUUUGUUUCUUGGAGCAACAGUUAUACUUGAUUCUUUAAUGUAGUCAAGGCAGCCUGAUCAGAACAGUGGGUAUACCAUCACGAGGAUUACUUGGUUCUAUGAUACAACUGUUGCAGGGGCUUUGCAAUGAUAUAUUUUCAUCAGAAAAGGCUUUGGGUGCAGAUAGUAUCUAUCUUGAAGGUGACUCGACCAUGGUGACUGACUGGAUUCAGGGCCAGCACAGCCAUGUCGAUCGACACCCGCUGCUUCGGAAUAUCUGCAGGCUCCUGAAAGAGUUUGGCUUCUUCCGGGCCACUUAUGUUUAUCGGGAGGUUAACAAUGCUGCUGACUGGGCUGCCUGCUGUGCUGCACACCGUUCAGAAGAGUUUCUCUAGGAGAAUUUUGAGUUCGUUCUUUUCUCUUUCUGUCAACUAUUUUUUUCUGAUCUUAGUGUACUCAUAUGCAUUUGGUGUGAGUCGCCGUUGAAUCAAAAAAAAAAAGAAAAAAGGAAAAGGCUUUGCAAUGACAUGCCGUAUUACCCUGUUGCAGAUGAUGUGAUUUUUUCAGUCAAGUGCCACUUUUUUUUUUUUAAUUUUGAGUAUUGAAGCUUCUGCAACCAUAGUCGUAAACCCUUAAGUCUUGUCACCAAGUUUUGAGGGCAUUCUGUGAGCCUUGCCUGGAAUCAUAUCGGAAAUCUCGUUUUAAAA